rnacentral:lncRNA from 1 species
GAUCGAAGAAUCAGAGAAGAAGGAGAGUUCAAUUUGGACUCUUGAAUCCCAACAAUAGAACACUAAGAGAGGUGGAUGAUAUCUCUAACUACCCUUCAUUUAGAAGGUUUUCCUAAACCACGAACAUUCCAAAUUAAGAUUGACAUGAUGUGAAAGAGAACUACUAGGAAGAGUGACAAGAGGUUCAAGGAGCACCAGCC